rnacentral:rRNA from 1 species
GACGAACGCUGGCGGCGUGCUUAACACAUGCAAGUCGAACGGAAAGGCCCUGCUUUUGUGGGGUGCUCGAGUGGCGAACGGGUGAGUAACACGUGAGUAACCUGCCCUUGACUUUGGGAUAACUUCAGGAAACUGGGGCUAAUACCGGAUAGGAGCUCCUGCUGCAUGGUGGGGGUUGGAAAGUUUCGGCGGUUGGGGAUGGACUCGCGGCUUAUCAGCUUGUUGGUGGGGUAGUGGCUUACCAAGGCUUUGACGGGUAGCCGGCCUGAGAGGGUGACCGGCGACAUUGGGACUGAGAUACGGCCCAGACUCCUAUGGGAGGCAGCAGGGGGGAGUAUUGCACAAUGGGCGGAAGCCUGAUGCAGCAACGCCGCGUGCGGGAUGACGGCUUUCGGGUUGUAAACCGCUGUCGCCUGUGACGAAGCGUGAGUGACGGUAAUGGGUAAAGAAGCACCGGCUAACUACGUG